rnacentral:rRNA from 1 species
GUGAGUCAUCGAGUCUUUGAACGCACCUUGCGCUCCUUGGUAUUCCUUGGAGCAUGCCUGUUUGAGUAUCAUGAAAUUAUCAAAGCAAGUCUUUUGUUCAUUCGAUCGACUUUGUUUUUGGACUUGGAGGUCUGCAGAUUCACGUCUGCUCCUCUUAAAUGCAUUAGCUGGAUCUUCAGUGAGCUCGGUUCCACUCGGCGUGAUAAGUAUCGCUCGCUGAGGACACCCAUAAAAAAGGUGGCCGGGAUCGCGGAUGAACCGCUUCCAAUAGUCCAUUUGCUUGGUCAAUACACUUUAUGAUCUGAUCUCAAAUCAGGUAGGACUACCCGCUGAACUUAAGCAUAUCGAAUAAGGCGAGG